rnacentral:piRNA from 1 species
AGGAAACAAUACAUCAAUUGUCUG